rnacentral:rRNA from 1 species
GAUGAACGCUGGCGGCGUGCCUAAUACAUGCAAGUCGAGCGAACAGACGAGGAGCUUGCUCCUCUGACGUUAGCGGCGGACGGGUGAGUAACACGUGGAUAACCUACCUAUAAGACUGGGAUAACUUCGGGAAACCGGAGCUAAUACCGGAUAAUAUAUUGAACCGCAUGGUUCAAUAGUGAAAGACGGUUUUGCUGUCACUUAUAGAUGGAUCCGCGCCGCAUUAGCUAGUUGGUAAGGUAACGGCUUACCAAGGCAACGAUGCGUAGCCGACCUGAGAGGGUGAGCGGCCACACUGGAACUGAGACACGGUCCAGACUCCUACGGGAGGCAGCAGUAGGGAAUCUUCCGCAAUGGGCGAAAGCCUGACGGAGCAACGCCGCGUGAGUGAUGAAGGGCUUCGGAUCGUAAAACUCUGUUAUUAGGGAAGAACAAAUGUGUAAGUAACUAUGCACGUCUUGACGGUACCUAAUCAGAAAGCCACGGCUAACUACGUGC